rnacentral:misc_RNA from 1 species
UCGUGUAACCGAGGUGUGAGGGCUGUCGCUGACCCUCAAAGGUCGUGCACGCCCGAGCACUCUCACACAAUCCAUCUCACCCCUUUUGUGCAUCACCGCGUGGGUCCCCCCUUUCGCAGGGAGGGCUUGCGUUUUCACACAAAACUCGAUACGGUUUAGAAUGUCUUUAUUUUUGCGAUCACACGCAAUCCAUA